UCAUUUUUUUGCCUUCUCUCUUCCCAUUUUGCUCAAAAAACCUCUAAUAUUUUUUGUUCUUUUCCCCUUCCCUAUUUAAAGUCUUUAUUAAAUAUAUGUAUAAUGACGACAAUGAAGAGUUAUAGUGUGGUGGAGAGCUGUGUAAAGACAAUAAAGAAUUCCUGAUGAUUUGAAUAGUCAUAACACGGUAUCAUCUUGGUCAUGUAGAAAGGCAUCCUAAUGAGUGGACUGGUUCUCCAACAUCUUUCAUCUACAAUCCUCUAUAUAUCACGGUAGCAACCGAUGAUGAUCUUGACAUCGUCAUGAAUGGUGUUUUCAAUAAUAUAAACCGAGAAUGGACUAAGUAUUGUGGCUUUCAAAAGGUGGAAGUGGAAGACCUGUCUGAUUCUGCUAUUAGUGUCCUAUGUGACUAUUUUAUGAAGUCAAGAAUCUAUGAGGUUAUUUUGUUUACGUAUUAUAAACUCAAAUAGCAUUGAAAUUGAAUAUUUAAUCUUUUAUCUAUAACACCUCAAUGAAAUUUAAAGUUUC